UACGGAGGGGGCUAGCGUUGUUCGGAAUUACUGGGCGUAAAGCGCACGUAGGCGGCUUUGUAAGUUAGAGGUGAAAGCCCGGGGCUCAACUCCGGAAUUGCCUUUAAGACUGCAUCGCUAGAAUUGUGGAGAGGUAAGUGGAAUUCCGAGUGUAGAGGUGAAAUUCGUAGAUAUUCGGAAGAACACCAGUGGCGAAGGCGGGUCUCUGGGCCGAUACUGACGCUGAGGAGCGAAAGCGUGGGGAGCGAACAGG
rnacentral:rRNA from 1 species